rnacentral:rRNA from 1 species
UACGUAGGUGACUAGCGUUGUCCGGAUUUACUGGGCGUAAAGAGCGCGCAGGCGGUCGUUCAAGUCGAGUGUGAAAGCCCCCGGCUCAACUGGGGAGGGUCACUUGAUACUGAUCGACUCGGAGGCAGGAGAGGGAAGCGGAAUUCCCGGUGUAGUGGUGAAAUUCGUAGAUAUCGGGAGGAACACCAGUGGCGAAGGCGGCGAUCUGGGAAGAUACUGACGCUGAGGUGCGAAAGCGUGGGGAGCAAACAGG